rnacentral:tRNA from 1 species
UGUCCUAUGGUGUAACGGUAGCACAUCUGACUCUGGAUCAGCUUGUCUAGGUUCGAAUCCUGGUAGGACAACCA